UCUUAGCUCAGUUGGUAGAGCAGCGGACUCUUAAUCCGUUGGUCGUAGGUUCGAAUCCUAC
rnacentral:tRNA from 1 species